rnacentral:rRNA from 1 species
AGCGAACGCUGGCGGCAGGCCUAACACAUGCAAGUCGAACGAACCUUUCGGGGUUAGUGGCGGACGGGUGAGUAACACGUGGGAACGUGCCUUUAGGUUCGGAAUAACUCAGGGAAACUUGUGCUAAUACCGAAUGUGCCCUUCGGGGGAAAGAUUAAUCGCCUUCAGAGCGGCCCGCGUCUGAUUAGCUAGUUGGUUGAGGUAAUGGCUCACCAAGGCGACGAUCAGUAGCUGGUCUGAGAGGAUGAUCAGCCACAUUGGGACUGAGACACGGCCCAAACUCCUACGGGAGGCAGCAGUGGGGAAUCUUGCGCAAUGGGCGAAAGCCUGACGCAGCCAUGCCGCGUGAAUGAUGAAGGUCUUAGGAUUGUAAAAUUCUUUCACCGGGGACGAUAAUGACGGUACCCGGAGAAGAAGCCCCGGCUAACUUCGUG